AAAGCACCUCCUGGGGCUGAGCCCCUUCUGCUCCCCUUGCAGUCCCCCCUAGUCCACCAGCCAUCCAAACCCCUCUGAAGUGGCACCCCAGCAAUGCAAGUUGGGUGGAAAGAGAAGAAAUCCAAAGAUGCCAUGCAGCCCUGCAUGCUGGAGAAGCACAGAAAGAUGUCCUUGUGCUUGGAGGUCCCCAGGGUGCCUUCGCUGUGUCACAAGUGCUGGGAGCCCCUGUACCCCACUUUUUCCCUGCAAGCACUUCCAGGAGAUGCUCUCCAAGAAUUUUACCUGCACAGGGCUAGCUGGGAGAGAGGUACCUGUAGAUGUUCUGUUUGCUCCUGGACCCCCACAUCUGGCAGAGCAGUGUCUACCUGCAGGGCAACCACCACCCAAACCCUGCCUCCUCUCAAGAGACAGCAAAACCAGAGCCCAUCUCCUCUGCGUGCCCACCUGGCAGGGGCGAUCCCUGAGCAGAUCCCUCCCGCUCCCUCCCCGCGGGCAGCAAGCAGAGCAGGACGCCAGGGAUGGAGCACAAAUGCAAGAGAUUUUAUUUCAGAUCAUUUGUCUGCUCGCUGUGGGAAGGCUGCUGGUGGGUUGGGUCCAGCUCCAGCCAGGGUGCCGUCUUAGCGGUACUUGGCAGUCAGCACGGUGCCCACGGCACACA